UGCCAGGAUUCCCAAUGUGAUUUAAACAGAAGUGGGAAGCAAGAACCUGAUUGGGUCAAGAAAGAGCCUAUCCUUUUCCUAAGAAUUCACAGUUCGUUCUUCCUCCUCGGAUCUGCAACUUCACCUUUUCUUUUCCAUUAUUGGUUAUUACAAGAUAUUGAAUGCAGCAUUGUUAACAAAAAGAAAAAAGUAGAACCAACCUAAAUAAACAUCCAACCAUAUGGAACUGGUUAAGUUGUGGAAUAACAAGAAGUGAAAUAUGCAGUGAACAAAAGCCAAACACCCUAAAGUAUUAAUGCGUUGAAAAACACGAUAUAUUCAAACGCAGAUUACAAAA